AUUGAACGCUGGCGGCAGGCCUAACACAUGCAAGUCGAGCGAGCGGCGGACGGGUGAGUAAUGUCUGGGAAACUGCCUGAUGGAGGGGGAUAACUACUGGAAACGGUAGCUAAUACCGCAUACCAUCAGAUGUGCCCAGAUGGGAUUAGCUAGUAGGUGGGGUAACGGCUCCCCUAGGCGACGAUCCCUAGCUGGUCUGAGAGGAUGACCAGCCAAAUGGGAAAUGAGCCAAGGUCCCAACUCCUACGGGGGGGAGCAGUGGGGAAUAUUGCCCAAAGGGCGGAAGCCUGAUGCAGCAAGGCCGCGUGUGUGAAGGAGGCCUUCGGGUUGUAAAGCACUUUCAGCGGGGAGGCGUUACCCGCAGAAGAAGCACCGGCUAACUCCGUGCCAGCAGCCGCGGUAAUAC
rnacentral:rRNA from 1 species